ACAUCUGAUGUCAAAAUGUAGCAAGAAAAAAAAACAAAUUGGAGGAGUGCCGCCGAGGUGUUCAGACACACACAACUGGUUAGAGGACCAACCAAAAAAUGCGGCUUUCAUUCUUUUCUUAUUUAUAUAACA
ensembl:ncRNA C29A12.10 ncRNA